rnacentral:rRNA from 1 species
GGGCUGCAGUGGGGAAUAUUGCACAAUGGACGAAAGUCUGAUGCAGCAAUGCCGCGUGUGUGAAGAAGGCCUUAGGGUUGUAAAGCACUUUCAGUAGGGAGGAAAAGUUCAAGAUUAAUACUCUUGGGCCCUGACGUUACCUACAGAAGAAGCACCGGCUAACUCCGUGCCAGCAGCCGCGGUAAUACGGAGGGUGCAAGCGUUAAUCGGAAUUACUGGGCGUAAAGCGCGCGUAGGCGGUUAAGUAAGUCAGAUGUGAAAGCCCCGGGCUCAACCUGGGAACUGCAUUUGAUACUGCUUAACUAGAGUGUGGUAGAGGAGAGUGGAAUUUCAGGUGUAGCGGUGAAAUGCGUAGAGAUCUGAAGGAACAUCAGUGGCGAAGGCGACUCUCUGGACCAACACUGACGCUGAGGUGCGAAAGCGUGGGUAGCAAACAGGAUUAGAUACCCCUGUAGUC